rnacentral:rRNA from 1 species
AUUGAACGCUGGCGGCAGGCCUAACACAUGCAAGUCGAGCGGAGCGGCGGACGGGUGAGUAAUGCCUAGGAAUCUGCCUGGUAGUGGGGGAUAACGUCCGGAAACGGGCGCUAAUACCGCAUACUAUCAGAUGAGCCUAGGUCGGAUUAGCUAGUUGGUGGGGUAAUGGCCUACCAAGGCUACGAUCCGUAACUGGUCUGAGAGGAUGAUCAGUCACACUGGAACUGAGACACGGUCCAGACUCCUACGGGAGGCAGCAGUGGGGAAUAUUGGACAAUGGGCGAAAGCCUGAUCCAGCCAUGCCGCGUGUAUGAUGAAGGCCUUCGGGUUGUAAAGUACUUUAGGCAGGGAGGCGGUACCUGCAGAAUAAGCACCGGCUAACUACGUGCCAGCAGCCGCGGUAAUAC